AAUUAGUGCAGCGGAUAUUUUUCAGUGAUUAAAAAACGAAAGCUGCGUUCGUUCGAUAAAGACUAUUUUGAUGCAAAAGCCGAUUCUAAGAUUACUUAUGAUUAAGUGCAGUUUACGUUUAAACACAGUUAGCGUCUAAACGCGGUUUGCGUCUAAAUUCAGAUUGCGUCUAAACUCAGAUUGCGUCUAAGCGCAGUUUGCGUCUUAGCGCAGAUUGCGUCUAAGCGCAGAUUGCGUCUAAACGCAGAUUGCGUCUAAGCGCAGAUUGCGUCUAAACACAGUUUGCGUCUAGGAGCAGUUUAAGCAGAAGUAUAAAGACAAUGUGCUGCUGUUGUACAGCUCAAAAAGUAAUCUGCAAAAAACAGAUUUACGUCUAAACGCAGAUUUACGUCUAGACGCAGAUUUACGUCUAAACACAGAUUUACGUCUUAAACGUAGAUUUACGUCUGAACUUUGAAACUCGUUUGUAUACUCGCAGAAGGCAGUAUGCAGUUGAAAUCAAGACGUAAACGUGAACUGAGAUCUGAUGAUUGUGCGAGGAAAGCCGAUUUACGUCUAAAUGCAGUUUUACGUCUAAAUGUUGAAACUCGUUCGUAAAAUUGUAGAGGAUAGUUUGCAGUUAUCAAUAGGAUCAAAAUGUAAGUGUAAACUUCAAAGAAACUCGUUCGUAAAAGCACGGAAGACAGUUCUGCAGAAUCAAACGUAAACGUAAAAUGUAAUGUACGAAAAUACGAAUUUACGUCUGAAUGCAGAUUCGGAAGAACAGCACUUAGAACUUGUUCGUGAAAGCGCAGAGAACAGUAGUAAUGAAGGAGGUUUGCAGUAAUGAUAAAGUGCUCAAAAAUAAACGCAAACCAGAGAUUUAGAGUGGUUCGGUCAGCCUUGACCUACUCCACUUUUGGCUUCCUCCACCGACGAGGUCGCCGACGUCAACUAGGGGCCUUCCUUCAAUAGGCGAAGGCCAAACUUCCCGUUUACAGUUUCUCUCCUUUUGACAGGCUCAGGAGA
rnacentral:lncRNA from 1 species